UUUUGCAGCAACUGCGGGGCCCCGCUGUUAGACCCUUUAGCACCGGUUUUUAACACAAACCGGUCCUAAAGCCCUCCCGUAUAUUCCACUCCGAGCUCAGCUCCAUUUUUUCCAGCUCGAGCUCAACUCCAUUUUUGCUCUCUCCUUCCUCUUGGGAGCUCUAAUCCAUCCCCAUUUUUCUCCACCAUUUGUCAAGAUUGUUGGCACCCAUCGGUCCUACGGUUAGCAUCAACAUUCCCUCUUCCGGCAGUGCAAGUUUUAUUCGUUUUCUUGCUCAUUUCAUUUUUGUUGUGCUAGCUAGGUGUUUGAUGAAAUGCCUAAGCUAGAGAGAGUUCAUCAUUUGUUAUGUAUACAUAUGCAAUUUGAGCUCAAAUUUAAUUAUGAUUUGUGGUUUUUUUAGUGUCGCGCGCCUUGUCCUCUUCCUCACCGCCGUCGAUCCCCCCGUCACCGACACAACCUUGGUGAGCCUAUUGUUUUUAUUUACCAAUUUUUUUUUUGAUUUGUAUGAUUUACAUAUUUACUUGUAUAUAAUUAUCUUAUUGUGUAAGAUUUUUUGAUAUGUAUAGCGCCAUGGUUUUGAUAUCCGUCCCCGUUGGCCCUCGUCCAGUCUAUGAUUCGGAUGUGGUAUAUUAUCUUUUAUAACUACAUAUUUUCAUUUCCUGAUUAUAUGACAAUUAAUUACGCCGACCAACUUGACAUAGAUAUUUUUAUCUAGGAGGUAGUGGAACCGGAAAUGCCAAUCGACCCUAUUGUUGAGAAGUUGCACUUAGUUGAACAAGAAAAUGUUGGCCUGAAAGAAAGAUUGAAAAAAACUGAAGAAAGGUUGGAAAAAACUGAAAGAGAGAAGAUGACCUUGGAAAAGGUUCUUGCCGGUGUCGUUGAUGGUCAUAAGAGCGAGAUGGACGCAAUGCGCCUGAAGAUUAGAAAGAUUAGAAAAUAUGCAAUUAGUAAAGAGGCUUGGUAUCAUUAUGCCGUCGGGUCAAUUGUUACCUUUGUUGCGAUUUUGAUCGCAUUUGUUGUUUUUUUAAAUGCAUUAAUUAGAGAGAGUUUUUAUGGUUGGUUUCAGUGUGUAUUUUUAUGAGAACUAUAUAUGUAUGGUCACUACACUACUUUGGUUUUAACGUGUGAUGAACUUUUUGUAUUAAUUAAUUAAUUUAGUCAUGAUGAUUUAGCAUAAUGGUUUUUGAUAAAUUUAUAUAAUGCAGAUGAACCGGCAAUGGAUGUACAG
rnacentral:lncRNA from 1 species